UAUAAGUUUAAUAAAACAUAUUUUCUUCCAUAAACGUCGCAAACAAAAUAAAAGAUCCAUUAAAUCUAAUUUUAAAUGGUCUGAAAUCAGCGAGCAUAAAAACAGUUGGCACACAAAAUCUACAUGACAAAUUUCCGUUUUUUUCCACCCAAGUGCAGACACAAGCUUAAAAAUACCAACUGUUAGUGUGGCAAAGAAAUAAUAAUAAUAACAAACAGCGCCGACACAAAGAAACGUUCACUUUCGUUGGUGCAAAAAUCUCAGGCCAAAGUCAUUGUGAGAUUUGAUGAGUUGGAAGGCGAAGAUGAUGAGUACGCAGAUGGAAACGGGUCCAAAGACGCCUUGUCACUGACUCUUUGGUCAGGGCCUCUUCGCUAAUGCUGUUUAUUUUCUCUGCAUCUCAUUUCGGAUGUAACGAAACCGAAACGCAAAUAGAAAAUAUGACAAAUAAUUGCUUCAAAUACCCGCUUGACACACUUUUUAGUAGGCGCGAAGAAAGAGUUUGUCAAGCAAUCACAAGUGUUCCAAAACAAAGAUGAGGUCAAAAAAAUCUCUUUCGGUGAUUGUUUGAUAUUUUCGGAGAUUUCGCAGGCGGAUUUGGCGAAAUUUGUGGUUUCGGUGAUGAAGAUGGGAGAUCUGUGGCUGCAGCAUUUUUGGUCAAAAGCAAGACACAAGUGAAGCUACCGGCGCCAUCUCAUUUGUCAGCCAGUUUCGGUUUGAACUAGCUGGCAGUCAUUUGUAAGCCAUUGUUUUUCUGCUCGUCGUGGGUUUUGGUACUUUGGUUGAAGUUGCUUUUCCCGAACGGUUGCUUCGUGGCUCAUCUUAUCCCAUCUCACCGACCGACUGACUGACUAUUUUUGUUUUGUUCAGCUGGUUAUGCUGAUGCGUUUGCCGCUGGUUUGUUGUCUGCGCGGCAAAAGGUGCAAAACUUUCACUUUAUGUAUUAUUGUUUUGCGUGCGAGCUGCUGCGUUUGUCUGCCAGGAGAAAUUACAAUAAUAAUGCCUAUAAAUUAUGAACCAAAGCGCUUGAUCCACUCUGCGUGGGCGAAAGAAAUUGCCGCAAUUAAAUGAGUCAAGGGACCCAAAGUGAAUGCUCUGUUUUGCGAUUCUUCUGCAGAGAUAAAUGGCGUAAGUGUAAAGCGACACGUCUUUCACAUUCUGCACAAGAGAAAUUUCAGAUAUUUUUAUUGCAAAAUUCAUGAGCCAGAUCUAAAGACUUGAAGCAAAAACUGCUGUUUUUCAAGGUACAUAAGGUAGAUAAAAAGACUUAAGUCACGCACUGGAUAUUAUUUUUAAUUUUUGCAAAAAUUUAAGUUAAAAACCGUAGUUUGCAAAAAUUUGUACAACGGAGUCAAAAGACUUAGGAAACAAACUUGUUUCGAUCAACUACUAUAUUUUCAAAACCUGGCACUGAUAAAUUGCAUGGCAAAAACAAAAGACUGCGGACACAAACGCAACGUCAGCUAAUGAAACCUUUAUUGAAUGCAAAUAAAACUCCAGUUUUAUUAUUGCCUAAUGACCAGAGAAACUCGUGGGAAAGAUAUUUAGCUACUUUCGUCGAACGCCAAAGCAACUGGCGAAAUCGGUAGAUUGAUUCCAUAGAUUUGACGGGUAAUUCGUAAGUCAUGCUGUGCGUCUUCAGUGCCAUCAGCCUGCAGACAGAUUUAUUAUGGGCAAAUUCCAAAGACUGGUCGCGAUUUGGAUGCUCUUUUGGAGCUUCAAGAUUGUGACUCAGUUGCCUCAACUAGUUUGCAGCCCCCCACACAGUCUGUUGAACCGCCGCUCAAGGUCUUUUCCCAGCCACCAACGGCGGAGCUGCCAUUCAAAGCCACAAAAUUCUAAUUAAUUUCGCGCUCGCGAAACUUUUUGCAUUGAUCUCUUCUAACUGCCGCAAAAAUCCCAAAAGAGCUACAGUGUGUGGGCAACGCAUACAAAUCGAUAUUCAGAUGAACAGAUGAAGACGAAACCGAGACCAAAGCGGAGCAGUCUGUACCUCAGUGCCAACCUGUGCCCGUCGUCUAACAUCAUUAGUUUCGGCCAGUGGAGGCUUUUUUGAGAAGGCCUCGUGGGCGAACGACCCACGCUCCAUGACACAAUCGAUCCGCCAAGGCCCGACCAUGUGGUCCACGGAUCUCGAAAGCCAUGCACUUGUUAUGCGUUUUCGAUUUCCAUUCGCUGAUGGGCAGUCCACUUUCACCAGAACUCGGUUUCAUUUUCAUUGCCAUAUACGAACGUACUUCUUCAAGAUGACCCAAAAAAUAAUGAAGCAUCUUUGCCCAAAAAAAAAAAAACUGAAAACACAGGCCGAAAGGAAAUAAGAAAUACUUCGAGGAAUAAAGCGAAAGUAAAACAGCGACCAGUUUUUGUGUUUUUUGUGGCUGCAGGGCUGCUGCAGCUGAAAGAGCGGUUCGAACUCCGAUUCGCAGUAACUCAAAAUGAUGUCAUGCUGCGGGUUGCCAAAAAAACUCGGCCAGACUUUAGUGUUUUUUUCUUUUUUGUUUUUGGUGGACCCGAAUUUGCUGUAUCUGUAUCAAUAAAAUGGCUUCGUCCCGUGCAGAAUAAAGAAACCGUGCUGCAAAUGCAAAAGUAACCGGACGACUUGGGCCCAGCCCAGUUAAGUUCACAUUCAGUUCAACUUUCAGCUUCCACGCCAACACUCCGUGGCACAGUUGCUUUUUUUUUUUGUUUUUGUCGUCGUGGUUUAUGCCGCUCAAGACCCUGAUCGCUGCAUAUAACUAGCCGUAAUGCCGUUUAUUUAUUUCAUUUUAAAAGUCCCUGUCAGCGGCACAGCUCCAGGUUCGGUUGCAGUUGCACUCGCCUUAGCCUCGAGUUAAGCCUUUAAAUUUAUGACUCAUAUUAGUUGCAGACUCCGACGCCGGAAAAAAAAACCAACACGGAAACUUUUUAAACUGCAAUUUGCAACAAUUUCUGCCGCAACUGUAAAGCAGACUUAGCCAAAAAAAAAAAAAAAAUUGCAAAACUGGCAUCAAGAAGGCGAGGUUGCUGGGGCGCAACGAAGUUUUAUUACACUCUCCAAAAACAGCAGGAAAAUGGGUUGAGUUGUGAGCUUCACGGCUUACAAAAUCUAGUUCAGGUUUCGUUCGCCUAACCGCCGAGUAGGAAAAGCCAAGUUAAAUGAAUUAAGUGACUAGGAAACACAUAAAACAGCCAUAACAAUUGCUGAGCUAAGGUUAGGGAGGGCACUGCCUUUGGCAAGUAGUAAAUAUUUUAGGAUGCAGCUUUAUUAAGCCAUUAAGGAUUUCUUAACAUAAUUUAGAAAGUUCCAAUAUAUGCCGGAUGGAGUUCUGGAGUAGCAUGCCCAUUCUUUCAUUCUUGGCGAGGCCCCACAGGCAAAUAGAGUAUCCUAAAGGCCUGUAUGCAAAACCAAGCCAUCAACUCGAUCUCAAGUUGUGCGGCCAAUUAACGGAAUGUCUGCUCCGAUAUCGCUACCGUAAUUUAACUUUCAAAUGCAGCCCGCAAGAGCAGUUAAAUCGGAAAACCCGUUGGAGCCUGGCAGCUCCACUGGUACAUAUAGUGUAUCCCCAUAUCAGGGCACUUGGAGUCAGCAGGAGUGGGAGCUACAUGGUCUUUUGUCUUUUGCUGCCUUUCUGCGCCCUGUCAGUGAGCUAUCUAGCCGGCUAAUAACUUCAUUUAAAUUAAUCUGGCCAACAGGAGCAGCACGUAGAGCAGCACACAACCACCACAAUUUAAAAUUCAAUUACCGCUGCAUUUGAAGUUGCCACCGCAGGCGCGCACAAAGCCAUAAACAUUUCCAUGUCGCCACCAUGUGAGGAGCGGUGGCUCUGUGCCGCACAUUGAUGCAUUGAUGCAUCCUGUCAUUGUCAUAGUGCCAGCUCAUAUCCUGCGGAUCGCCACUGGCCGUAAAUUGCAAAAACCGCACAUGCUAAUCAACAUGGGCAACCGCAAUUAUUAAAUUACAUUUGCGCGGCCUAAUCGAAUUGGCGAGGGGUCUUGGUAGUCGGUAUAUGUAUGUGACCAGUGCUCCCAGGUAAAUGAUAUGAUAUGGCCAACAGUAGCGACUGCUAAUUUGGCUUGACAGUCUGUUCUCGCCAGCUAAAAGGGGCGUAACUAUCGGUAUUUGAUUCGUCUCCGGAACGAGGAGGCUGGAUGAUUGUCGGUGCGCAAAGGAAGCUUUAACCAAGUGUGGACACUUUGAUGGCACCCAGGUGGCGAUCAGAUUGAGGAGGAAACACUCUGAUCUAAUCACCCAUGUAAUGUUAUUCACUAGCUUGUUGAGACCUUAAGUAUUCUCCACAAGAUGAGUAUCUUUCAUUGGUUCUCAGAAUAUUGAUGGGUAGAAGUGGUUAAUACUGUCUGAAUUUGCAUAUAGUACUCAGUUAACAUUUUUUGGGUUUUAGUGCGAUUUAAUGCAAUUUGCAUCCCGGAUAUAUUAACACUCCCAGCUUCUCUACACAAUUUCACCAUCAAUUUGCCAUCCACAGUGUUGUCGGUUAUGGCCAAAAGUAUAAGCCAUGACUCAACUCAACAACGCCUCGAAGGUCGACAGCUGGCGACACUUUGGAUGUGGUGCGAGUCUCUCAACGCCGACGGGGAACAUAUUUGGCUUUGAUGGUGCGUGGGCUUUACAACUCAGUUGGCUUGAUUAAAAUGUAGUGUGGCCUGGCCGACGCCAAUUGGCUUAUUACCCAUGAUCCGAGCUAAGACAGGCAAAACAGACCCGGUUUGCAUGCGGUUCUAACAAAUGCCAGUUGCCAGUUGGCAACAAACAUCGCGCAGAGGCGUUUUGAAAUGACCGUGGGCGGGGACAUGGGAGGCCUUCAACUGCGUCGACUUCUGAGUCCCACACACAAAGAGCUUUUGUAAUUAAAAGCUGAGCUGUUUUCACACUCAAAUGGUGCGUUGAUUGAUAUUCCCGGCUAAUUGCCACAGGCUUGGCUCCAAGUUGUUCCGACUCGGACCAUCCCAAGGCACUUCCUUAAUGGUCACUUACACCAAAUGUCAAGUUCAAGUGGCGGCCCUUGGUUAAAUAAAAAAAGAGAAGAUGGGAGCCGUGUACAAUGAGGCAUUUGAUUGAUGUGAGCCCCUCUUGCCGGUCAUAAUCGUCAUGAGGAUGAGCAUGAUGUUGGUGAUGGUGGUGCGUCAGCAAGAAAAUCGAGGUAGUUCUUUGACUUCUUCGAGUUGCCGGUGCCCAGAACCAAGUUCCAGGCAAUAGAAGUGGAUUAGGACCGUGGAAAGUACGUGACAAAAGCCCUCGUCGUCUGUAAUCUUGCUCACUCAGAACAGAACGAACAGCAGUCGAGUCAAGUUCGUGGUCGCAGUCUUUCGUUUGGCCGACUGCAGCUAAUUGUUUUUUUCCAGCGAUUUUUUCUCUUAUUUUCCUCUCCACCACUCCGACAUACAUGAAUGAAAACUAAAGUAAAUUGGCCCCCAGUCGUUGGAGUCAUCGUCGUUGUUGUCGGUUCGGGACAUGAACAUCAAGGUGGUCGUGGCCGCUGUCGACUUCAGACAAAAUGCAACUACAGAAAAAAUGAAAAUAAAAGGAAGAAAUAUAUAUAUAUAUAUAUAGUAUAAAUGCGGCUAUAUGUGUACAGACAAUAAAUUGUUAAAUAGCCGCAGACGCAGAAUGGGCCGGGGCACGGCUUAAAAAUUUAUGCCAUUUUAAAGCGAGAAAUGAAACACGCCCCAAGUGCAUUACAAUAAAUUAUAGAAAUAUGAGUAUCGCAAAAAGUCUGAAAACAGCAACGGAAACCGAGCAGCGGUCGCUCUUUUGGGCCAUGAUCGCCGCCAUCUCUAUUAUAAAGCAAUUAAUGCCGGCAAUGCUGAUUUUAAUAAUUCAUAAAAGGGAAGGGAAAUGAGAGCAUAAUUAGGACACCCGGGUGGCCCCACGGAUUCUUUGGUCUUCUCGGACUCCCCCUGCAGCAUGGGCACGACUUUGGACAGGGCUCAUUAAAAAUGGCCUGCUAAAAAUAGCAGCAAACAUUUCUGCGCGCCAGAGUGGAGUUGUCCUGCGCCAUCCUCACAUAUUUUCAUAUUAAUUAUCGUGGCCACUUGUACAGCUGUCCGAGUGCAACCUGCUGCUCCACUCGAAACCCCAAUCCCAGCUCCAUCUCCAGCUCUAAGUAUUCUCCAGGGGCAGAUGCAAAGCACGAUGCGAUGCCCCUGUGCAGAUUUCGCCGAUUGCCCGCCAUUGACUUUUAGCGAUAAUUAACACCUAGGUACUAAACCAAAUUGCAACCGCAGCAUCGGCGUCUGCCAGAUGCGACAAAAGACAAAAACUGGCCAACUCAAAAGGUACUGGUAGUGUAGUAUUGGACGUUCCUCGUGGACGUUUUUAAUGGCUCGCUUUUUACAUUUAUUUUAUUGCAGGCAGGCAAACUGGACCUUUGCUUAUUGAUUUGCAUUUUUACAAGACUUCUUGUUUGCGGCACUGUUGUCGCUUUUUAUGUCUAGAUUUAGUUAUUUUCGUAUAUUUAAAUCGCUUGUACUCGGGAUGCUUCAAGGUUCCCUCCUUGUAACCAGCCACUGGAUCAGAAGUACAGGCGGCGAUAAUUUAAACAGGAAUGCUGCGACCAGGAUUAGUUGGAAAUAUCGCUUUGAAGUCGAGUCAUAAAUUAAAGCCAACUAAAUAAAUCAAGAUGAAGUGAGGAUAUACAAAGUAGCUUUGUGGGGUGGAAAUAUAUUAUGGGAUAAGAAACCGGAGUUCUGCAAAUUCAUUCCUAAUGACUGGAAAGAAACCACAAUUUCUCGAAGAAAAAAGUUUCAAAUGGAAACGGAAGAAUAAGAAUCUACAGAGUUGAUGAUAGCGUGAUGACACUAUUUCCUAACUUUUUUCCACCGACAGAUCUUGCUCUCGUCCCACUUUAUUAUUAUAAGAUUUUCGACCAUUUUUAGCUGAAUAAAAUCCAUCGAAUCUUCCACAAGAGUCGGAUAAACUAGCAGUUACGAGACGCUCUUUAACAAAAAAACCUAGUCACAUGCCAAAUUUGGCUAAAUUGGCAACACUGAAUGGCAGCUACCGACCUGUCCGGCCAUUUACAAUUACCAACGACCAUCGACUAUCCACUAUCCACCAUCCACCAUCCGCGGCUCAUCCGUCGCGGCAUUCCGAUUGCGAUUCCAGUCACAUAGUCGCACAUCUCCGCCUGACUCGCGCUGGGCCAUUGUGGCUCGACUUUGGCCCUUUUGGCCAAGAGCGUUGGGGCCAAAUUGUGCUGCGUUAAAUUCAAUCAAUGCAUCAAAUCCACAUGCACAUGCACUCCAUCGCCCACGCGUCCUCCUAAGGAAACCAAAAUCAAAAAAAACAAAAAGAAAAGAGGCCUCGAGUGGAAAUCGCCAAUGGACAUGGCUUUUCGAGUUGGCCCGCGUUGCAGGAACUGUCGGACGAAUCAUAAAAUUAUGCAGAGCACAUACCGCACACGCACACACAUGGGGCUAUUAUACAAUAGGCAAACACAACCACAACGCAUUCGGGCCAAAACCAAAGCGGCAAUUGCAUAAAACUCUUUUUACGAUGCGUGGUUGUCGUCUUUGUCAGUGGUAAGCCCAAAGAAACCAUCCACAUUCGUUGGCGAUGGCUACACAGAAAGAAACUUCAUAUACGAUUUUAAAUGGGAUUAUGCAGAUUUCUUGGGUUUAUCCCAUUAAAUGAAUAUUUUUUCGCGGUGCAUGAAAAUGGCGACGCCGGGUCCGGGCACGUACGCAAUGCCAGAGGCAACUAAUGCCCAAGUAUAUAUAGUUGUUGUGGCUGUUGUGGUGUUCCUCCUGUUGUUUAUUGAAGUGCGCGACUGCGCGUUAUGUUUUCCCCCCAUUUGUUGUUGCUGUGGGGCGCAUUCGCAAUUUACAACACAAAUAAACAUGGCCAAGAAGUGGCAGUGGCAGAAGCAGUCGAAGUGGCAAGUCGGCAACACCGGCCGAGGUUUACUUCCGCCGGAUAGCUACGUAAAAAUCAUAUAAAUUAGAAUGGUGGUAAAACCGAACUUGGAGUGCUGACUCCGAAAACCAAAAUGACGAACCACUCACCUUCCCCGAUUAUUCAGAUUCUUGAAUUUACAUUAUUUCUGGGUAUUUCCGUUAGGCACUGCCCUUAUAUGAUUGAUUGCUUGCCGGCGUAUUCCAUACACGGUUCUUCAUAGUCAUCAUUAUGUAACCUCAAGAACCGACGGGCCGAGGGUGUCCAAGGCACUUAGCCAAAUCAUCGAAGCGUCCGAAAGGUCACCACCAGCGGUAAUUAGAGUUGACUGACUGGCUCUCCUGCAUUGAAUUAAAUCGACUGCAAUUUACCUUUCUAAUGGCCAGCUCCAUUUAUGGCCACAUGGUGUUUUUCGACUGCAGCAGUCUGUACUGCACUCCACAGAUCGUGUGUGUCCAUUUAUGGCCAGGCCAGCCCAACUCCUGCUCCAUCUCGGCCAGACUCUUUCACCCGGCGUAGGCGAAAAGUGUGCACUUUGGAAAGCCAUCAAAGGCGCCACGGGCUCUGUCGAUUGGAGGUCAGGUCUGCAUGCCACGAAAACACACACAAAAACCAACAAAAAUCCACAAAAAACGGGCACAUGUGGGCCGUGGUCGCCACAUUGUACACUCCAAGAAAGUGUGUCAGCUUGGAAUCAGUGCAGCAGGCACUGUAAUUGGAAAUGGGAAAAAUAUAUUACAGAUUAUCUGCAUUUUUAUGGCUGCCAUUUAUUCAAUUUGUUUAAUAGGCUCGCCAUAGCAAAAGCUGCAAUGCUUUGCUCACGUUGUGUAAUUUUAUAUUACGAACAAAUUUCUUGGUAAUCAAAUUGGUAGUGUAAGCGAAUUCGAACGGAAUUACUAAACCGACUUUAUUGAUUUAUUUUAUUACCACCUUGCGAAAACACUUACAAGUAAGUGGAAUGGAUGGGUAAUCAUUUGCGAAAGCCAAAAUAUUGACUCUGCCUGGGUGUAAUAGAAUAACCAGUUUCCAGAUCUCCUCUCCCAUAAUAAAGGGCAUGUCCUUGGCAUAUAUAUGCACUUUGUAGCCGAUAUUCGCCACAGUGUGGGCCACAAUUUACGGCGGUCUGGACAUUUACGAGGCUCGGCUUAGACACAUUGUGCGGCAAAAUGUGGCCGCAAUCCAGAAUCCCCAUCGGAGGCCAGCCUUUUCAAUUAAAAACUGGAAAUAAAUUGCGACCGCAGCGGCGUAAAUAAAUAUUGACAUUUAUGUUUAGCGAGCUUCCCCGAAGAUUGCUUUGCCAAUAAUGUGGCACAGAGAUUCGUAGACUAUAAAAAGCCUAAUUAACACCUCUGUCCCUCCACCGAUCUUCGGAUAUGCCAAUCCUCCUCCACCUCCAGCUCCUCACAUUUGAGAUGCAUUAAAGAGUUGCCACCACAUCUUUGGGUUAGCGGCUAAUUUCUGGGUUAAAUGUGGGGGGAAAAAACGAAAAGAACACCGUCAUGGCCGGCAAUGAAAGCGAAAUUUUUCGAGUCCGCCGAAAGAGUAGUUCUCCAGUCUGGCGAAAUAAAAGAACAAAAUGGGAGGAAAAUAAGAAAACAUGCGUCGCCCGGAGUCGACAUUCUUUUUAACAAGUUGCCCGCAGAGACCAGAAAAGGGCCUAGAGCUGCAGUUGGAGCCAGUCAAAGUCAAGUUAAAUACGCCCGCCGUGCGUCGGGAAUGGGGGACUGGUCAUUUUGGCAUGUCCGCUGGGCUCUCUGGGUUCUCUGGGCAACGCGAGUCCAGGCCAGGGCCAAGAAAUAUCAGAAGAUCAAAGGCAUUUUAACAGCCAGCGUCCAGCGCAAACAAUCAACACGGCCCAAAGAGCCAGAAGACAACCAGAAGACCUAAAAGGCCAACAUGGGGAUGAGGACGAGGAGCAGGAGCAGGAGGAUGAGGGUCAGCGGAGCGGUAACGUGCCGGCUUAAGGCCCAAAACCUGUGCACUUAGUUGGAGGACACGUACAGGAUAAAUUAGCAAAUAUUUGUUUCUUCUCUUCUUUUUUUUAUUUUAUUUUUUUGUAGCUCUGCAGAUGUUUGCCUUGCUGGGGAUUUUAUUUCUUAUUUAAGCAAAAAUUGCAUUUAAAUUGUUUCGUGCUCGGCCAAAGGUCGGCAAUGUAACCUUGACAUUUCCAGCCGAUCAUCGCUGGACAUUUCUCCCCUUGGCAGCAAAUAGAGUCCGCCAAUGAGGCCAUCGAUAAUGUCUCAAUUAUGUCAAUGCGACACCAGUGACCAGCUGGACCAACUUGGCCUCCUCUUAGGUGCCAUCUCUUAACAAAUCGAAACGUAUCGACUUGAUCUCAUUGGGUGCAUGUGCAUAAACAAAACAGUACACCAGCACACCAUAAACAAGAGGACUAGACCAAACUGAAAAAGAAAAAAUAAAUACAAAAAAAAGGGGGAUAAGCCUUAUAAAAACAAUACAUCAGGCAUACGGUGCGUAGUGGCUGUAGCUACUACAAAUAAGUCGGCGUCUCCAGUUCAGUUCCCCCAUUGUGUUGCCACUGGGCAAUAAAGAGAUUUAGUAGCUCGGACCAUCCAGCCAUCCAGCCAUCUAGCCUCCUGCUGCUCCAGCUCCUCCAGAAUUCCUCAUCCUUUCCCUGGCCAGCCGGGCAUGUCCUUCUGAGCGGUCAAUGCUUCCCGCUGGAACACUGCCAUCGCCACCGCCUGAUUUGCAUGCUUAACCUUUAAGCUCGUGCGGCAUAUUAAUCUUAUCAGAAACUUGUCAACAGUCAGCUAAAGUCAAUCCGAUCGAGCCGCUUCCCUGCUGACAAGAUAUAUACAUUGUUCUCGGACAUCGCUUGUAAUGUCUCACUCGCCUGGUCGCAUAUAUAUCAAUAUACCAUUGAAGUGAAGAUCUGCGAAAUAAGGGGAUAAGAUGGAGAUUUUGUUUAAAGGGCUAAGCUCUUCUUUUUUUUUAAUAUUUUCACAUGCCCAUGCGAAAACCUACUUUCUUAGAAUUGGAAUUUUGCACAAAUAGUUUCCAACAGCUCUUGG